GGCAAGAUGGCCGAGCAUGGUUCAUGGCGCUACGUUCAGGGAAAUCAAUUACCUUCUUCGUAGUGGAGCAAUCCUCCUGGGUUCAAAUCCCAGUCUUGUCA
rnacentral:tRNA from 1 species